ensembl:lincRNA
UGAGAGACCAAAGUUUCCAGGGCCUUUGUCUUUAGAGCAAGGGUCUUAAACCUUAGUGAGCAAAAACUGACCCAGAAGACUUGUUGGAGGCAUAGCUUUCAGUUCAGCAAGCCUAUUUCAACAGGUUGGAGGUGGGCCCAGGGCUCUGCAUUUUCCCAGCUCUCUGGAGGAUUCAGAUGCAGGUAGUCCAUGACCACAAGGGGAUGCUGCUCUUCCAAAGCUGGGCUGGAGAAUCAGAACUGGCAACUGCCUGGGCCCAGAGCUGCCAGCCAUGGGGCAGGUCCACCAGAGACUGAUGAAGGAUAGAGGAAGAAGAAAGGGAAAGGAAGAGGGAACCUCAGAGAGGAUUAGGGUGGGAAAUGGAAAAAGAGAAACUCCAAGGUGUGCAAAAGAGAAAAGGGAUGCCUCUCUAAGAAGGCCAAUCCCCUGACUGCAACAUGUGCUGAUCUCCAAGGGUGAGGCUGGAUGAAGCCAAGGGCUGUAGAAAAGGAGACUGAUUCAUAGAACUUGACACCAUCUUUAGUAGUUUCCCUGGUUCUUGGCAGCUCCUUUUGGCUGUGUCCUAUCCUGCACAACCCUCCCAGCUAGUCUACUCCGGGGCAGCGUCCAGCUGGUGACCUGAGUGGGCAGCGGUGCACCAGUCUCCAUGAAAGUUGAGCUCGGAUGGCCAAUAGCAAUUUCCACCUCGCGGUCUACAACUCUUCAUCCUGAUUGCAUGGAGACUGGUCUCUCUCUUCAGCUGGAUUUAGGCCACCGUCUGAGCCCUGAGGCAUUCACCUGGUUCCUGGGUCUUUUGUGCUGUUGCCCUAUAUGUCUAGCUACUUCUAGAAAAAAAUCUUUCUGGAGGCCCAAUGAGCUUGUCACAUCAGCCUGUCCAGAGGUAAAGCACACUUCCCUGCAUACAAGUGCCUCUCCCUUGCUGUCUUUAACUUAUUCAAGGCACGCAGCACCCUCUCCGAUGCUGAGCAAGCUCAGAUCAUCCUGGUCUUCAUGGUGUCUUUUUCCUUAUUCCAUUGUUCUAAUCUGAUUGAAUUUAAAUUUUGCACAUUUUGCAUCAGUCAUUCUCUUGCAUGAAUCUCUUUCUCUUCCUCCCUUCUGCUGUCACCAGCUCUUGUCCUCUCUUUUCUGGACUGCUAAAUAACCUCUUUACUGGUGUUCCUGUGGUCUUCCCUUCCCCUUCGCUAAACCUAUUCUCUACUCAGUAUCAAAAAAGACCUAACCAGCAAUGAAUUCUCCCCACCCAACCCUUGACCCAUUGUUAUUCUCUGGCAUUAGAUCCUCACCAGCAGGGCAAAGUGCAACUGUGGCCAGCUCAUGCCUUCAAGAGAAGGAUCGAAGGUCAUUGUGUUCCUGAACCAAGUAAGUCUAACUGCUCCUUCAUCGGCUCACCCAAAACUAUAGGAGCUUUCUAAGACCACUUUCCCAUGGCUCUGGGAAUUCCUCCACGCUUGAACUCUGGUCUAGUUUCCCCAGUUUAUAUCCUAUGCUUCAUACCAAGAUCUUCCCACUUUGCCUAUCCUAUAAGAAGUAGUGGCCAGGUUGAACUUUCUGAUGAGUUUUGGAGGUUGCUUCUUGGCUCACCCUUGGUACCUUGGUCUACUAGUCACAGGUAAGCUCUACAAAGUCUAGGUGACUGGGACACUGCAACCCACCCCAGACCCAACACUAUGGCCUUCUACUGGUUAGGCACAGCAUCCAGAUGAGAUUUCUAGUGCCCAUAAUAAAGAUGAUGAGGUUUGCAAAUAUGAAGUUCGCUGGCAACUUCUUAUAGUUCAUAAGAAAUAUUUAUAGUUUGCUCAUUCAUUGAGUCAUCCAACAAGUAUUUAUAGAGACCACCAAGUACCAUAUACAUUCUGUAAUGUUAGGGAUAUAGCAGGGAAAAUGUCAGACAAGGUUUCUGCUCAUCGAAUCUGUAUUCUACUGUUGGAGGAAAAGAGAUAGCAUCAAUAAUUGUCUAUGAUCUUAAAUGUCUGAAGACAAUUAGCUGUAUAAGAUGUAAGUGACUGAGAGAGAGGGCUAUUUUAGACAAAAUGCUCAAGGAAUUAGCUCUGGAAAUAUGACAUUUAAACAAAGAUCUGAAUGACAAGAAGACAGCAUGCCAAUUUUGGUGGGCAGAGUAUAGUGGGUAGAGAGACCAGCAAAAGUACAAAAGCCUAAAGUGAAAAUAAACUUGGAUGGGUUUGAAGGACAGGAAGAGAACAAUGUGGCUAGAUUUGAUCAGCAAAGAGGUGAAUAAGAGGAAAUUAAGUCAAAUGGGAAGACACAGACUAGAUCAUGUAAGGCCUCAGUAAGUGAUAUGGUUUGGCUGUGUCCCCACCCAAAAUCUCAUCUUGAACUGUAGUUCCCAUCAUUCCCACUGUGAGAGGGACUCAGUUGGAGGUAAUUGAAUCAUGGGGGUUAUUACCCCUAUGCUGCUGUUCUCGUGAUAGUGAGUGAGUUCUCAUGAAAUCUGUUGGUUUUAUAAGGCAUUUUCCCCUCUUUUUCUCAGCACUUCUCUCUUGCCUGCCACCAUAUAAGACAUGCCUUUGCUUCUCCUUCUGCCAUGAUUGUGAGGCCUCCCCACCCUUGUAGAACUGUGAGUCCAUUAAACCUCUUUUCCCUUUUAAAUUACCCAGUCUCAGUUAUGUCUUUAUUAGCAUGAGAACAAACUAAUACAGUAAGUUUGCAUAAGAUAUUUGCACUUCCCUUUGAAAGCAAUUGGAAGCUGUGCUCUGCAUACCCAGAAUAAAAGUAAGAUUGGAAACCAUGGUGAUUGAAGACCUAUUGGGAGUGGAGACUUGAGCCCUGAGGGAGAUAGUGACUGCAAAGUUUCUCAGAUUCUCUGCAUCUGGGGAUGAUAUCUGGAUGGGAUGCCUGGCCCCUAAGGCUAGUGAGGAGUUCAAAGAAGAAGGAGCAGAAAUUGAUUCAGGGGAGACUAAGCAGAGACUCAAUAUUCUGUAAGUGCUCCUAGAGGGGAAGGGUUAGAGAGGUUGGUAGAGGGGUCCAGGAUUGCAGAAAGCUGGAGAUUCCAGCUCUAAGACAAUGCUAUUUUAGCCUCAAGACAGAGGCACGAUUAUAUGUUGCAACAAUGAAGUCAUUUUGAAGAAGCAAAAAUACUCAGUGCAAUGGACUGAAUGUUAGUGUAUUUCCCAAAUUCAUAUGUUGAACCCUAACUCCCUAUGUGAUGGGAUUAGGAGGUAAAGCCAUUUGGAGUUAAUGAGGGUGGGGUUCUCAGGAAUAGGAUUGGUGCUCUUAUUAAAGGGACCCCAGAGCACUCUCUUACCCUCAUUCCAUCAUGUGAGGAUAUAAGAAGUCUGCCAUAUACAACCUGGAAAGAGCCCUCACCAGAACCUGACCAUGCUGACACCUUGAUCUUGGACUUCCAGGCUCCAGAACUGGGAGAAAUAAAUUUCUGUUGUUUGCAUGUCAACCAGUCUAUGUGGUAUUUUGUUGUGGCAGCCCAAAUGGGCCAAAACACCCA